UUGACGUCCGGUAUACGGACGUCAAAUAGGAUUACCACUGAAACAUAACUAUUAUGACUAUAGUACUACUGUGGACAUCGACUUAAAAAAAGUUAUGGAUGCCAUUUGCAUAUCAGAUUGAAUGAAUUUGUAUUUCAAUUAGUUCAGGUUGUUUCCGUUUUAGCGCGUAGCGCUGACAUCGAGUUAAAUAUACACAUUUGUAUACUGGCUGUACGUUAUUAGGCAAAUUUGGCGUCCUCAUGCGACGUUGCCGGUUUGAUUUAUUUUGUCUUAUAAGCGAAUAACGGACAUAAAGGGUUCUUUGAAUUAGCUUAAUAACAAUGUGUCGUUUGCCUACUGCGUUGCGCUGUUGAAACUUUAAUUAAAGACUAAAGCCAUUUACUAACCGGCGCGUAUACUGUUAGUACGUGUUCAUAGUAGUUCGGCGUCCCCUUGACCAGAUAUUUAUAUAAUUAUAUUUUCCAAACUGUGACUUAAAAGAAAAUGCCAAAGGAAUCCAAGCUUAAAGGUUGAACCAACUGACCGUGACACGACUGCGACUGCAACCCCGGUAUUGGUAAACAGAAAUCUCAAAACUUUAACAAGUUUGAUUCAAGACCACUGGAAAUUUGACGUCUCUAGUCAGGCAGCUGACGAUUUAAAUAUGAAUAAAUAUAAUAAAACAACUAUAGUUCCCUUGGCGAGUGAUUUGAAAUGUCUUAAAGAACAUUUAUGUAAAGCAGCUGCCCGAUCAUCAGCUAUGCUGACUGGGUCGCAGUCAACAUUAAAUUGUCUUGCUUACGAUAAAUUGAUUGAAACAGUAUUCUGUCGCGUUAUUUUACUCAAUCGUCGACGGCCAGGAGAACUAGAAAGAUUGCAGUUGAGUUAUUACCAAAGUUAUGAUUUGAAAGAUGAUGAACAAGAUAAAUAUCAAGAAUUUGAAAACGUUCUGUCUACAACUGAAAAAAUACUGGUUAACAAUCUCAAACGAAUCGUAAUUCGCGGUAAAAGGGGACGGGGAGUUCCUGUUUUAUUUAGCAGUGAUGUGCAAAAAGACAUUGAUAUUUUGAUGUCUCAGCGUCAUAAAUAUAUAGAUAAAAACAACGACUACAUGUUUGCUAAAAGUGGAGGAUCCCUUUUGUGUGGUUAUAAAACAAUAACAAAAUACUCAAAGUUGUGCGGAGCGAAAAAUCCUAAAGCACUGACUUCCACUCGCUUUAGGGAACAUUUGGCUACAUUGAGCCAAUUGUUUAAUAUGUCAGAGAAUGAAAUGGAACAGUUAGCUUCAUUUAUGGGGCAUACUUUGUCGGUCCACAAACAAAAUUAUAGAUUGCCAGACGAUGUGUAUCAAACGGCUAAAAUAUUUAAACUUUUGUUUCUCAUGGAGAGUGGAAAAGCUGACAUCUACAAAGGGCAAUCGUUGGAUGAUAUGGAUGAAGACAUCUUAGAUUUUGCUAUGGAGGAACUUGAUUCUGCUGAAAAACCUUUGACAGAUUCAACUACGACCGUAACAUAACCCACUCCAUCUUGCUCAACUACUACAUGUCAGCCAAAUAAAAAGCGAAUACUGGUUCCGUGGACUUCGGAACAAAAAAAUGUUGUACUAAAAUAUUUUGCAACACAUAUAAAAAGAAAAACACCACCAAAACGUCAUGAAUGCAACAGCUUAAAGAACCAACAUCCUGAUUUAUUGAGUAAUAAAGAUUGGCUGAAAAUUAAGGUGUUUAUUCAAAACACAUAUAGUAAGAAAUAAAAUAUGUGUAACAAUUUUCCAUAUUAAUUAACUCUAACAUAAAUUUUACACGUAAUUACUAGCAAGCAAGUUAAAUAUUACGAGUUGAAUGAUUUAUAUAAUCAUCCCGGCCUUUUGAGAGCGGCGUUGCUCUUUUGGUCCUGAAGAAAUACUCACGGAGUCUUUCUCCAGGACCAAGAAACCAAUGUCAAUUUCAAAUCGUCGGAAUAAUUAUUAAAGUUAAUCUACUCGCGAUUAAAUAGACGCUCAUUACUAAUACUAUUCUAUAUGUCAUUUUUGUUUAUAUUUUUCGGGUUCCGUACUCGAAGGGUGCCUAACGGAAUCCUACAGGUACACGCGCUUAAACAUUGUACAUAUGUUCAUCGUAGACAAAAGCUCUUGACUAAGGCCAUUUCUUAUUAUUAUAUUACAAUGUAUUUGGUAUGUGAAGCCAAAUAUUAUUCCGGAAGUCUUUAAGUACAUAGCGAAGGUACGACACCUUCAUUCAGUGGUUAAAGCUCUUUCUGAGCAAUCGAGUGUAUUAAAAUAGUAAAUAGAAUAAAUAUUUUACAUGGCGUCCGGUGGGAAUACACCAGAAGAUGAUGGAUAUGUGGAUAUGCAAUUACUUGCAUUUCGACUGCCGUCUUAUGGUACGUUUAGAUAAAAACUUUGUGAUAAAAAACAUACCAACUAUAAUGUGCACCCUUUUUUCACGAUUUAAAGUUGCGCCCUCGUAAUUUUUAUGCAAAAAGUAUCUAAUAGUCCGUACCGUCAAUACUCGUAACUUCGUGGGCACUUGUAACUGCAUUUAUGGUUGUCAAUACGAUUCAUUUAGAGUUAUACGGUCAGCGUCAAAAGUAAGUGAUAAUUUUCGUAGGUAUUUGACGUAAAUCAGUACUAAAAUUGUCAGUUACUUUUGACGCUGACUGUACAUACCUAGUCAUAUAAUAUACCCGCAGAUCAGGCAUAUAUUAAUUCAUCAAAAUGUAGUUUCAGAAACAGAAAUUGAUUCACGAAAUACCACUCCUACGCCUUCUCAUAUUUCUCUACCACCACCACCACCCGAGCUACUGAUGUCAACAGAUUCGGUUGAAAGAGCGGAAAUGCAGACAACAUCCUCUCAGUAUGUGUGGCGAGGAUCCGUCGGUUCCGAAAAUGUAAGAUGCGUAAGCAUCACUAUAACAAAAAGCCAAUUGUUUAAAAUUAAAGUAGCGAUAGCUGUAGGUAUUUGCUAUGCAGCUGUAUCCAUGUUGUUAAAUGUGUGGAUUUUAAUGUUAAUGAUACGUUAAUUUAUUAUUAGCGAUCCAUAAGGGAAUCGAACCCACGCCAUACGGCCUAAAACAAAGCACAAAGCACGCACGAAUGGUGGGUUUUGUGGGGCUCGGAUCCCACAGGGUCGAUUCUUUUUUACUGUUUUCGUUAUUUGUUUGGGUUUAACCUUUUGAACGCCAGCAUACGAAAUGCACACAAAGCAGAGUAAAUUAAAAAAAUAAAGAUAUUGCGGAAAUGCAUAGUGAUUGUAAUAAAAUCGUGAUAUAUUGCGAAAUAACUACAUCUCAACUUGGACACCUUUAGGCGUCGUUGGCGUCAUGGACACAACAGCGAACGACGCCUUUAGGCGUUCUUGGCGGUCAAAGGGUAGUAGGGCGUCGAGUUGAUGCUACCACUUAAAAAUAAAAUUAAAGAUUUCUACAAAGUGUAACAAAAAAAGUGGGGAUCCGUUUAAGGGCAUAUUUGGUAUCGUAUUUACGAUAAUUUUUGUACGGGCCUCGUGUCGUUCCAGCAGGUACCGUCAAUACAAAACCUAAUUUUUUUUGGCGCCAUAAAAAUUUUUCUUCCAGUUUUUCCUACCCAAAAUACGGAUACCUUAUAUGCCCUUAAACAGAUCCCCACUAUUCCUGUUACACCCUGUAUGAAUAAUUGAGGGGACCCCAUGUUAGUAAUACUGUUAUUGUUUUAGUUUUCAAGCAACAUGCCUUGCUAUUUACUUGCUAGGUACUUCUUUUCUUAUCAAUAUGAACUGCACUUGAACAAUCGUUAAGUACAUAAGCGUUCGUGACUUAAUAUUUAAUAUGACCUAUCUUGUCUUAGCGGGACCGUAGCAUAUGAUUGGCGCGACUGUAUUUCGCCAGCGGGAUAGAUAUUUGUCACUUCCUCACAGUUUUCACAAGAAAGUGACAGUCACGCCAAUCACGUGCUAGAGGUACGUUAAAAAUAUUAUGUCUUCAUGAAAUAUUUUCGUUAUUGUACCGUCUGAGUCUGAUUCUAUUGUCUUCUUGUCGUCGCAGUCAGUCGUAAUCUGUUUUGUCAGGGUCAAUUAUUUUAUCGUGUCGAUUUUUAAUUUAAAAUUGUCUAUUCUGAAAAAGUGUGUCAGUCAGCCAGUCUGCCAGAAAGUCUGUCUGGUCGGCACGGGGGUCAGAGUCUUCCAACAGUUAUCGUUACCGCUCUCAAAACGCGCGGGUGUGACCGGCCCCUAAUUGGUGUGUUAAAUAGGUAUCAAAAUUUAUUUAGGCACAGAAAGUGUCAUGAUUAUGUAUCAAUAAAGUGUAUUUUUAUCAUUUUAGUACUUAUUAAAAUUGUUUAUGUCUGA